UCGUGGUGCAGAUGGCAGCGCCAUUUUCAGAGCUAUAAACAGUAUCAUUGUCAUAGCUCUUUGAAUGGUACUGCCGUAUGUACUGAA
ensembl:miRNA